rnacentral:rRNA from 1 species
UCAAAAACAUCGCUAAAAGUAGUUGAUUUUUAGUAGUACCUGCCCAGUGCGUAUUAUCUUGUUAACGGCCGCCUUAGCGUGAGGGUGCUAAGGUAGCGAAAUUCCUUGCCUUUUAAUUGUAGGCCAGCAUGAAUGGUUUGACGAGGGCCUCACUGUCUCUUAGUUCUAUGUUGAAAUUGUAGUGUAGGUGAAGAUACCUUCAUAAAAAAGUAAGACAAAAAGACCCCGUGCAACUUUGAAAAUUAAGCUAGAUUAAAUGGCAAAAGAUUUUUAGGUGGGGCGCCAAAAGAGGAAACUAUAACCUCUGCUGUUUAAGCUAAUUCUUACUGGAGUUGACCUGACUUAAGUCGAUCAAAGGAGAAGUUACGCCGGGGAUAACAGGCCAAUUCUUUAGUAAAGCUCGUAUUAACUAAAGGGCUUGGCACCUCGAUGUUGAAUCAGGGAUUAUAGCUUCAAGGCGUAGAUGCUUUGAUUAGUAGGUCUGUUCGACCUUUGAAACCCUACGUGAUCUGAGU